AAGGCAAAGGAAGAGAAGUGAUAAUAAUAAUGUCCGGGGCAGAACCCUGUUACGUUAUUGUUCUUUGAACCUCAUCUCUUUAUAUAGUCUCUGCUCCACCAAAUUUCAAUUCUAACGCUUCUUUCUUAUUUCAAUUUCCAUUCUUCUAAGCUUCAUAUUUAAAUUCGGACAUAAGCACCACCAUCUACCCCUUUCCCUAUUUCCAGUAGGGAAAAAAGAAAACCCUAGCCAAUAACGGUUCAUUACCCAAAGAAAGAAGAAAAAACCUCGUUGAAUCCAAAAUCUUGGUGUGGGUCAAUAAUUUAAAUUGUUUAGCAGAGACACAGAGAGAGAGAGAGAGAGAGGAUGGAAGGAAUACCGCACCCUAUCCCAAGAACAGUGGAAGAAGUUUUCAGCGACUUUAAGGGUAGACGUGCUGGUUUGAUUAAGGCUCUCACUACCGACGUUGAAAAGUUUUACCAGCUCUGCGAUCCUGAGAAGGAGAAUUUGUGUCUAUAUGGGUUUCCAAAUGAAACAUGGGAAGUGAAUUUGCCCGUUGAGGAAGUGCCUCCUGAACUUCCUGAGCCAGCAUUAGGUAUAAACUUUGCUAGGGAUGGCAUGCAAGAGAAGGACUGGUUAUCACUGGUUGCAGUUCACAGUGACUCAUGGCUGCUUGCCGUUGCUUUCUAUUUUGGUGCCCGCUUUGGAUUUGGUAAGAAUGAAAGGAAAAGGCUUUUUCAGAUGAUAAAUGAUCUGCCAACUAUCUUCGAACUUGUGACAGGAAGUGCUAAGCAAUCAAAGGACCAACAGGCUGCUCACAACAAUGGUAGCAAAUGCAAAUCAAGUGGAAAGUCUCGUCAGUCUGAGUCUUCGACCAAAGGAAUGAAGAUAUCACCCAAAGAAGAGGAUGAGAGUGGAGAAGAAGAGGACGAGGAGGAGGAUGAACAAGGUGCAACAUGUGGUGCCUGCGGUGAUAAUUAUGGCAAUGAUGAAUUCUGGAUCUGUUGUGAUAUGUGUGAGAGAUGGUUCCAUGGUAAAUGUGUUAAAAUUACUCCUGCUAAGGCUGAGCACAUCAAGCAAUACAAAUGCCCAAGCUGCAGUAGCAAGAGGGCAAGAGUUUAAAAGCUCUGAACCUUUGGAAUUUGGAUCAAUCACCAAUUGAACAGACAAAAUUUAAAAUGUUUGAUAACAUUUUUACUAGUGAAAAUUGUUGCCUGUUGUAGUCAAUGAUGCACUUUAAUGACUGUGUAGACAGAAUUUCAGGUUUUGGUACUGUUCAUUCAUACUGUCUCAUCUUGGGAAUUGUGUUUUUGAGUAGUCAUUGGCAACAAAGAUAUUAUAUAUUCUGCACUUCCUGGUUUUUAUUUCAAUAAAUAUUUCAUUUAUUUCUCCAUUUUGAUGUGGGAACCAAGGUGGUAAACCGGCUUCAAUGUGAUUCAGUUUCAGCAUUAAUAGUCCUCAAAGAGACUUUGAUGCUGCUCGAGCCAAGGCUCUUGGGCAAGGAAUACCUUUGCAUGGGAACCAAGGGUACUGUAACUGUGUCACACUUGUAGCAUUUUUAUCUUUGGAGGUUAGGGUCCUGUUAGCAGGUUUUUGAAGAAAUCUUUUGGGGAACUGAAGCAUGAAGGUUCCAACUGUUUGACCUGCUUAGAUGGAGAAAGAUUCUUCUUCUUGAUGAACAUAAUUUGAAUAUUGGUGAGAAAUGAUCAGGUAUGCUUCAAAUUCAACGCUUGGCCAGUCUGACAUUUCCUCAAGGCAGUUUGCUUGUUUAAAUUGACAGUCAGCACCCAAUUUAAUUGGGUGAAAAAUUAAAUGAAAUACUGACAGAAAAGUUUUAUCUAUUUUUAAGUAGUUUGGGCAUUGUUUCGUCGUGAUGUCAGCGCCGUUUUAUGAAGAAAUCUGCAGUUAUUAUACUCGUCACAGCCACUAGAAGUUGCUAUAGAAUUUUUUGUACAUUUAGUUUGUUUGAAUUAGCCUCUAUGAAUUUUAUUUUGGAUAAUGUUAAUGUUUUUAUAUUAUCUUGAUUAAAAUGAAAAUUGAAGUAAUUGAUAUAUAUUUGUAAAUUUUUAUUUCAUAAGUUAGUAAUAAAUUUUAAUAUAAAAUUAUUAUC